AGCAUAUGCUUGUCCCAAAGAUUAAGCCAUGCAGGUCUAAGUACAUACGGGCUGUACAGUGAAACUGCGAAAGGCUCAUUAAAUCAGUUAUGGUUCCUUUGAUCGCUCCAAUGUUACUUGGAUAACUGUGGUAAUUCUAGAGCUAAUACAUGCUGACGAGCGCUGACCUCCGGGGAUGCGUGCAUUUAUCAGACCAAAAACCUAACCGGGCUUGCCCCGGCCGCUUUGGUGACUCUGGAUAACCUCGAGCCGAUCGCACGUCCCUGUGGCGGCGACGACUCAUUCGAAUGUCUGCUAUCAACUUUCGAUGGUACUUUCUGCGCCUACCAUGGUGAUCACGGGUAAUGGGGAAUCAGGUUUCGAUUCCGGAGAGGGAGCCUGAGAAACGGCUACCACAUCCAAGGAAGGCAGCAGGCGCGCAAAUUACCCACUCCCGACCCGGGGAGGUAGUGACGAAAAAUAACAAUACAGGACUCUUUCGAGGCCCUGUACUUGGAAUGAGUACACUUUAAAUCCGUUAACGAGGAACCAUUGGAGGGCAAGUCUGGUGCCGGCAGCCGCGGUAAUUCCAGCUCCAAUAGCGUAUAUUAAAGUUGCUGCAGUUAAAAAGCUCGUAGUUGGAUCUUGGGAUCGAGCUGGCGGUCUGCCGCGAGGAGGCUACCGCCCGUCUCAGCCCCUGCCUCUCGGUGCCCCCUCGAUGCUCUUAACUGAGUGUCCCGCGGGGUCCGAAGCGUUUACUUUGAAAAAACUUGAGUGUUCAAAGCAGGCUGACUUGCCCGAAUACUUCAGCUAGGAAUAAUGGAAUAGGACUCCGGUUCUGUUUUGUGGGUUUCUCUUAACCCGGGGCCAUGAUUGAGAGGGACGGCCGGGGGCAUUCGUAUUGUGCCGCUAGAGGUGAAAUUCUUGGACCGGUGCAAGACGAGCGAAAGCGAAAGCAUUUGCCAAGAAUGUUUUCAUUAAUUAAGAACGAAAGUCGGAGGUUCGAAGACGAUUAGAUACCAUCGUAGUUCCGACCAUAAACGAUGCUGACUGGCGAUCCGGCUGCGUUAUUCCCAUGACCCGCUGAGCAGCCUCCGGGAAACCAAAGUGUUUGGGUUCCGGGGGGAGUAUUGUUGCAAAGCUGAAACUUAAAGGAAUUGACGGAAGGGCAC
rnacentral:rRNA from 1 species